GACGAACGCUGGCGGCGUGCUUAACACAUGCAAGUCGAACGAAGAGCGAUGGAAGCUUGCUUCUAUCAAUCUUAGUGGCGAACGGGUGAGUAACGCGUAAUCAACCUGCCCUUCAGAGGGGGACAACAGUUGGAAACGACUGCUAAUACCGCAUACGAUCUAAUCUCGGCAUCGAGGAUAGAUGAAAGGUGGUCUCUACAUGUAAGCUAUCACUGACGGAGGGGAUUGCGUCUGAUUAGCUAGCUGGUGGGGUAACGGCCCACCAAUGCGAUGAUCAGUAGCCGGUCUGAGAGGAUGAACGGCCACAUUGGGACUGAGACACGGGCCAGACUCCUACGGGAGGCAGCAGUGGGGAAUCUUCCGCAAUGGACGAAAGUCUGACGGAGCAACGCCGCGUGAGUGAUGACGGCCUUCGGGUUGUAAAGCUCUGUUAAUCGGGACGAAAGGCCUUCUUGCGAACAGUUAGAAGGAUUGACGGUACCGGAAUAGAAAGCCACGGCUAACUACGUG
rnacentral:rRNA from 1 species